rnacentral:lncRNA from 1 species
AAAAAAAAACUAAAAUCCUUUGUUUAUCUGCUAGGAUUCCAUGCCCUGUCUCAGCCGCCGCCGUUCUUGGCCAAUCAGCCUCCGUUCGCGACAGAGACGGCCUCAGUUCAGCGAUUCCGGCGAGAGAGAGGUAAGUUCGUCCCUUUUAUUUAUAUUUUAAACAAAAAUAAAUAAAAAUAAAAAGAAACUCUAUAGAAAAAAUAAGAUAUAUGUAUAUAUGAAACAAAAUAAAAGAAUGAUAAUCUCAAUGAGGUAAAAACUAGAGAGAAAGAAAACCUUUGUCUUUCAAAAAGAAAAAUCUAUUUGCCUUUGAAUUUCUUUCGGUCUUUCCUCCCCCUAAAAUAUAGAUUUUAAUCGGCUUUAUAUAGCCGAUUAACACCCCAAAAUCUGAAAAAAAUCAAAAGACCCCGCUCUUUUUCGUUAUUUGUUGCGCUUGUGUUCCCCCUUUUUCGCAGGUUUGGUGACCGUGGAAGCGCGCGACGAGUACGGAGCGACGAGUGCGGCGUGUGGGCGCUGUUGCGGCGUGCAUGUGGGAGCUGAUGCGCCUAGGGUUCCUGCUAGUGUUUUGGGCUAGCAAGUUUGGUUUAGUAUCUUGGGCCAUUCUGGGUUUAGUUGGGUUUUGGGUCUGUUUAUUGGUUUGGGCCCGGGCAUAUUUGUUUGCUUGGGCCCG